CAGCAGCCGCGGGAAUACAGAGGGUGCGAGCGUUAAUCGGAUUUACUGGGCGUAAAGCGUGCGUAGGCGGCUUUUUAAGUCGGAUGUGAAAUCCCUGAGCUUAACUUAGGAAUUGCAUUCGAUACUGGGAAGCUAGAGUAUGGGAGAGGAUGGUAGAAUUCCAGGUGUAGCGGUGAAAUGCGUAGAGAUCUGGAGGAAUACCGAUGGCGAAGGCAGCCAUCUGGCCUAAUACUGACGCUGAGGUACGAAAGCAUGGGGAGCAAACAGGAUUAGAUACCCGGGUAGUCCCUGUCUCUUAUAA
rnacentral:rRNA from 1 species